rnacentral:tRNA from 1 species
GUUUCCGUGGUGUAGCGGUUAUCACGUGCGCUUCACACGCGCAAGGUCCCUGGUUCGAUCCCGGGCUUGAACA